rnacentral:rRNA from 1 species
GACGAACGCUGGCGGCGUGCCUAAUACAUGCCAGUCGAACGCUUCUUUCCUCCCGAGUGCUUGCACUCAAUUGGAAAGAGGAGUGGCGGACGGGUGAGUAACACGUGGGUAACCUACCCAUCAGAGGGGGAUAACACUUGGAAACAGGUGCUAAUACCGCAUAACAGUUUAUGCCGCAUGGCAUAAGAGUGAAAGGCGCUUUCGGGUGUCGUUGAUGGAUGGACCCGCGGUGCAUUAGCUAGUUGGUGAGGUAACGGCUCAUCAAGGCCACGAUGCAUAGCCGACCUGAGAGGGUGAUCGGCCACACUGGGACUGAGACACGGCCCAGACUCCUACGGGAGGCAGCAGUAGGGAAUCUUCGGCAAUGGACGAAAGUCUGACCGAGCAACGCCGCGUGAGUGAAGAAGGUUUUCGGAUCGUAAAACUCUGUUGUUAGAGAAGAACAAGGACGUUAGUAACUGAACGUCCCCUGACGGUAUCUAACCAGAAAGCCACGGCUAACUACGUG